AGUCUGCUAGAGACACGUCGGCUGGCAAUGGUUCUUUUGCUUGUAAUGGGCCAAAAAUUAGCAGCGAGUGUCGACACCAUUUAGGUCAGCUGUUUUUAAAAAUUAUGAACAUCUCUUACAUGUGAACAGGCGAAAAUAUUUCAAAACAGCCAUGUGAUCAAGAGUCCAUUUAACCAUACCAUGGACCGUUGUUUGAUCUGUGUUGCUCUAUCGGAUACAUUGGCAUCGUUUGAUAGAUCAAAUCUUCAGUUGCCUGAGUCAGUAGAAAAACAUUUAAGCCUAAUUUGGAGAGUUUCGUGCUCUCCCUUUUAAAAAGGUAUUAUUUUACCUGGAUGUGUUAUAUUUUCUGUGCGUUUUGGUGUUCGACCCUUCACCCAGUCGCAAUCCGGAUCUCCCAGUUCCGCUCCGUUUGUCAUUCCAUCUCCGUCAGAAUCCGAGUCACAGAGCAUUCCACCCCACGUCUGUCAAUCAAAAAGAGAACAAGAUCAAAGCACUGAAAGUACUGAUAGUUUGGCUUUUACCUGAAAGUUUAUGUAAAUACAGAAGUACAAGUGAUGACUAUGAUUCAUGAUCGUGACGCGUUUUUGGCUAGAGAAAGAAAUUGUUACACCAGAAGAGUACACAUAAUUUUAACAACAUUUUUCGCCGGGUACCAGCUAGUCGUAUAUGCUCUUGACCUUUAUCAGUGACUUUAUGUCAAGGUCAUGUCAUACAUUCGGUAUAAGUAAUAGAAAACCAAAUUAACAGUAAUGGGCCAAAUUGAUGUAAAGACGAUUAGCUGCGCUAUCAAAGUGUUUAGUCAAUAUCUAACGAUAUUGUGAACUAUUUAGAAGAGAACCAGCUGAGAAAGGGGACCAGGACAAAGUCUAACGCUGUCAUCACGCACGAGUUUACGAUAUGAAAAUUGCGAGGGAUGACUAUGUUUAUUAUAAUCCUCGCUAAAAUGCACGAUAUAUUAUAAUUAUAACAUUUUACUGAGUGUCUUAAACUACAACCGCAAUUCGAGGUGUGCUUUGUUAAUCGCAUUUGUGUAGCGAAUGUCCUUAUUAAAAGUAUUUACUGAGUUAAUUAUUGAAGAGAAACUCAGAAUGUAAAAAUUAGUAGUAAAACUAUUUCUUUUAUAGUUCGUAUCAUAAGACAUGAAGGAAGGUAACAUUGUAGAGAAAAAUAUUAUGUAAAUGUAUGAAUAUGAACAAUUUAUUAUUUAAAUAUUAAUCAAUUAAGUAUGUAUUACUGGGAAUAAAAGAUUGACAUGGUGAAUUGAAACAUUAUACUUUUAAUAAUUCCCAUUUUAAAUAAUUUGUUUAUUAAAUAUCAUUGCUUAAAUUGUGUAUUUUCAGUGCGUCAGUGGCAAACAUUCGCAUUUUUUGCAUAUUUUUAUUGGCUGCAAAUCUUGCACUUUGCUCUAUAUUUUUGUCUUCAUUUUUUUCUCACGAGAAUCGGGUUUUUCUCUCGGCGCAAUCACUCGACAUCGGCCACUGAUUCAGUAUCAGCGCUACCGGUGAAUAAAGUACACACUGCAUUUACAUAAACACUGGUGACCCAGGAACAAACCUUACAUAAACCUGCUGCACUUGGUCGAUGUUAUCUAAAAACGAGGUGACAUGGUAGAUAACUUUUUUACUAUGAUUCAAAAGCAGAUGUUUGUGUCAAGGUGAUUAAUUAAGAUGAAGAAAAUCUGAAAUGUUUACAUACUCUUGUUGACCUGACUUACCGUUCGACAUACACCACUUUUGGCUUAAUAUUUCGAUAUUCAUAAAUCUCUAAAUAUUGCUAUGUCCAAACUACAUGUAUAUUCAUUCACCAGAAUAAAAAA
rnacentral:sRNA from 1 species